rnacentral:tRNA from 1 species
GCGUUCGUAGUGUAAUGGUUAGCAUCAGAGCCUUCCAAGCUCUUGGUCGGGGUUCAAAUCCCCGCGGGCGCA